GACGAACGCUGGCGGCGUGCCUAAUACAUGCAAGUAGGACGCAGUUGCGAACGGGUGAGUAAAGCGCAGGUAACUGCCCAUUUGAGGGGGAUAACUAUUGGAAACGAUAGCUAAUACCGCAUACUAGUAGAUGGACCUGCGUUGUAUUCGCUAGUAGGUAUGGUAAUGGCCUACCUAGGCGACGAUACAUAGCCGACCUGAGAGUGUGGUCGGCCACACUGGGACUGAGACACGGCCCAGACUCCUACGGGAGGCAGCAGUAGGGAAUCUUCGGCAAUGGGGGGAAACCUGACCGAGCAACGCCGCGUGAGUGAAGAAGGUUUUCGGAUCUUAAAGCUCUGUUGUUAAGGAAGCGGUACUUAACCAGAAAGGGACGGCUAACUACGUGCCAGCCGCCGCGGUAAUUC
rnacentral:rRNA from 1 species